GAUCAUGGCUCAGGAUAAACGCUGGCGGCGUGCAUAACACAUUCAAGUCGAACGAAGCUCCGGAACUUGCUUGCAAGGGAAGGAAGACUUAGUGGCGGACGGGUGAGUAACGCGUGAGCAACCUGCCUGGAGGUGCGGGAUAACGUUUGGAAACGAACGCUAAUACCGCAUGACGCAUGGAGAUCGCAUGGUUUUUAUGCCAAAGAUUAAUUGCCUUCAGAUGGGCUCGCGUCCGAUUAGACAGUUGGCGGGGUAACGGCCCACCAAAUCAGCGAUCGGUAGCCGGACUGAAAGGUUGAACGGCCACAUUGGAACUGAGAUACGGUCCAGCCUCCUACGGGAGGCAGCAGUGGGGAAUAUUGGGCAAUGGGCGAAAGCCUGACCCAAGCGACGCCGCGUGAGGGAAGAAGGUCUUCGGAUUGUAAACCUCUUUCAGCAGGGAAGAAGUAAGUGACGGUACCUGCAGAAGAAGCCACGGCUAACUACGUGCCAGCCGCUGC
rnacentral:rRNA from 1 species